rnacentral:rRNA from 1 species
GUGGGGAAUUUUGGACAAUGGGCGCAAGCCUGAUCCAGCAAUGCCGCGUGCAGGAAGAAGGCCUUCGGGUUGUAAACUGCUUUUGUACGGAACGAAACGGUCCGGGUUAAUACCCUGGGCUAAUGACGGUACCGUAAGAAUAAGCACCGGCUAACUACGUGCCAGCAGCCGCGGUAAUACGUAGGGUGCAAGCGUUAAUCGGAAUUACUGGGCGUAAAGCGUGCGCAGGCGGUUUUGUAAGACAGGCGUGAAAUCCCCGGGCUCAACCUGGGAAUUGCGCUUGUGACUGAAAGGCUGGAGUGCGGCAGAGGGGGAUGGAAUUCCGCGUGUAGCAGUGAAAUGCGUAGAUAUGCGGAGGAACACCGAUGGCGAAGGCAAUCCCCUGGACCUGUACUGACGCUCAUGCACGAAAGCGUGGGGAGCAAACAGGAUUAGAUACCCUAGUAGUCC